rnacentral:misc_RNA from 1 species
UCUCUCUCUCUCUCUCUCUGUCUGCAAAUCACCUUCUAUCUUGCAAACCACAUCAUGUCUUACAAAUCAAACCUCCACAUUAUCUCCUACAAAAUCAUAGUCUCCUACAUAUCCUCACUCUCUCUAAUAAACAAACCAUGUCAAAAAAUUAAAAUCAUUCAAUGAUCUAAGCAAAUCAAAGCAAAAUUUAAAAAGGAAAAGUUAAAAUUUUACAUUUUUCACAUCAAAGGCUUAAACAUCUUCAAUUCAUUGUUGUCUGAAGAUGUGCAUCAAUGGCUUCAAUGAUCUUAAAAAAUCGAAAGAGAGAGGGAACUCAAAACUCCACCCAAAAUCACAUGCUUGAGAGAUAGAGGGGACCCGAAGCUCUAGUAUCACCAUUCCCCUCCCCUUGGCAUGUUAGCAUCCUACGAAGUUGUCUAGGUAUUGUACGGCCUUGUCUUCUCUAGACAUAGCUAGGGGGAACAUAUUGGCUAUGGCUUGGCUUUGAUUCACAAAAGGAGGGCUUGGCUAGGGAGAGUUUGGCUUCAAUUCUCAAAUGGAGGGCUUGGAUAUGAUUCACAAAGAGGGUUUUACCUAUUACAUGUGUUAGAGAGGAGAAAUUAUAUCCAUUCAUGUACAUAUGUCCACGUGGGAUCAUGGUAAUACCAUAAAAUUGCUCAUUAGAGAGAGAAGCAGAUGAGGAGACUUAGAUGCGUGAGAUUGUUUGAGAGAAAAAAGAGAAUUUUUUAAUUAUAGAUUUCUUAUCUCACACUCCUUAAACAACACUUGUAUUACUCUCUUAAUUUUUGUUAAAAAGGACAAAAUGAAAA